GGAGAGGAGAGGGUGAUGUCACCUGCGAGUUGGUAACCUACGAGCUGCUGUGAAGGAAACUGUUUAACCGGAUCCCAUUGUACCCGGAGAGCAGAGCCGCCUUUCUAGCAUGCGGGGGCUGCUCAGUGACCUAGGCUGCUGGUAGAGCCUGGACUAGAAGGAUGGAUCUGAAGUACUCCCACCUUCAAGAUAACCACCUCAUCAGCACCCUCUUCCCCAAAGAGGGACGGAUGAAUGACAUGCAAGCAGAUUUUGAUGACCUACAUUCCAUUUCAGUACACUCUUUUUUGCAGGGAAAAAAAUGAGUUUAUAUUUUUAUUUUCUAGUGCCCUCUAUGCCAUUCCAGGAGCAGAGAACAGAGCAUAUCAGAGAGGAUUUGCAUCCAUAGUGUCUAAAAGUAUGUUAAAUGUUGAAUCCUAGGAGCACAAUGAUAGGUAUACAAAUUACCCCCACCUCAGUUUUAUUAUGGGUUUAGCAAAUGCACCCUUAGCUUUGAUGAGCUUCUUUUUCUUUUUUUUUUUGGUAUGGGGGAUCGAACUUGGGAUCUUGUGGUUUUGAGUCAGGCAACAGAACCACUGAGCUAAAUCCCCAGCCCCAAUCUUCAUUGAUAUUUAAGUGUUCCUGCUUUUUACCUCAGUCUGACUUUCUGCAGCAGUGACUCCUCUCAUCUGGAAUGUGCACCCUUCUGUGUGGCUGAAUCUUGUACUUUCAGGUCCCAGCUCAGGUGCCAUGGCUCCCAGGAGGCCUUCCCUGCCAUAUCCCUCAGUUUUCAACCCCCGUCCUCCUCAGAGCUCUUCCCCUGCCCACCCGACACUUAAUGCGGUACUGACAGUGUAUUCGAGGUGCUUCUCUUCUGCUGAGCUCUUUCUGAUAUUUUAUGUGGGCUACAUAAUUAACUCCAAACUGUACAAGGUAGGUACUAUUAUCACCAUUUUAGAGGUGAGAAAACUGAGGCAUGGAGAAGUUAAGGAACUUAAUGGAACUUAAUGUCCUUACAGACUGGGUUAGGGACUUAGGGAGUCUAGUUCUAUACACACUCUAUCAUUCCCUGGCUGGAUUUGUUUUUUUUUUUUUUUGGUAUUGGGGAUCGAACUCAGGACCUUUCGCUUUCGAGGCAGGUAGUGACACCACUGAACUAAAUCCCCUGCCCUCCCUGGCCGGAUUUGCAAGUGUUAUUCUUUUUCCUCCAGCUUAAGUUGGGGGACUCACUACUUACUUCCUUUUCAUGUCUUAAUUUGGAGACAGUGCUGGAUCAAUAAAUGCUGGGUUGAUCAAGAGUAAAAUUACUGGUUAAUGAAUACUUCCUUAGAGCCUGCAUUUCUGAAACCAAAAAUGUUACAUGAGAUUAAAAAUGUUGUAUCUGAGUAUUUGAAUAAUAAAGCUGUUGAAGUUGCUUCUUUUUGCUGUCUGAAGGAUGGGCAAAUUAAUUGAAAAGGGAAAUGUUCUUAUAUUUCAUCUCUAGGUCUGUGCGGAGCCUCUCCAGCUUUAGACUCUGUUGAGAUAACUUUUCACUAGGUUGAGUCCCUCAUCUGGUAAAAGGCCUCACCCAGAAAAGGCCCACGGAAGCUUGCAUUGAAAGUGAAGGGACCUAUAAUUUCUCAGCUUCCCUCCCUCUUAACAUAAAUUGUGAAAGCUCCUUUGAAAAGAAAAUAAUGAAAGCUUGAGCAGUAGUCAGACAUGUUAAUUUGAUAUUGGGCAUCCUUGGAUAUUAAAAUAAGUUUUUUUUCCUUUCACUUCAGAAAGACUUAUUUAUUAUUACAUUGUAGUAAGUUUGGUGCCAAAAUAUGAUUUUUUAAAAUCAUAGCCACCAUUGUGAAUUAAAUAUGGAAAACUAGGGAAGGAAGCAAGUUUAAUUUCCAAUGCAGUUGGUGUGAUUUCCUGACUUACAAGAGAUCUUUUCCUUUUGGCUUAAAACUGAAUAUUGUGCCUCUUUGAAAAUAUUUAAUAAAGACAAUCAACUAAAACAGAAACUGGUAAUUUAGGGGAAUAAUAGGAAAUCUGUGCCAUAACAACACAUUCUCAGCAAGAGAAAAUGAAAACAGAAAAGCUUGUUAGCCAUUAAGGUAUUCAAACCUGAUGUUCAUUCCACAGACAUUGAUUUCAUAACCCCAUACAUUUUGUUACACUUCCUAAGUAUGUCAUUCACCUUUAGUAAUAACCUGAGCUCAUUCUGUACUAUAAAUUGCAUCGAGAGUGGAGUUGAAGGUUACCUGUGUUUCUGCCAGGCACACAACAAUUAAGGUCACCUAUUAAACUGGCCUUUAUCUUUUUCAUUUCUGAAGAAAAUAUCUGCAGUGCACUUGGCAAACAUUGCCAAUCUGAUGGAUUCUGAAUUUGGAUUUACAAGAAUAGUUAGUCUAGAUCCUACCUCUGAGCAUUGUUGGAGUAAUGCAGAUACCUACCUUUUGUUUCCUGGGAUGGACUCUUACAGUCUGGCUUGUUCGCUAGGGUCUAUCUGGUGGUGACUUACAAACCAGGUCAAGGGUGGGGUUUGCUUCUUGGUUUGGAGCCACAAAUUGCACAUGUUCCUGUAGUCAGCUAGCUGGCUUCCUUUCCUCUCUCUCUCUCUCUCUCUCUCUCUCUCUCUCUCUCUCUCUCUGUCUCUCCGUCUCCUUUCUUUUUCUCUUUUCUCUCUCCUUCCCCCACCCCUCCCUCUUUCCCUCCUUCUUCCUCAUACUCUUGCCCAUGGAGGAGACUAGAUGGUACAUUGUACAUGUAUCAGUGCACAGUCAGCACUACUAGAGACAAAAUAAGGUAUAUUGUGAAAUGAAUUGGUAGGGAUUUUAACUUCUUCAGAUCCCAUAACCUUUAGGCAACAGUUUGCCAGUGCUUUGCUGAGGAACUAUAUGACUCUGACAGAUGUCCUUCUGCAAAGAUUGGGUCAGGACUAGGGGCAUCUUCCUAGAAGAAUAGAUGUCAACGUUUUGUUUCCUGCAUAAAGCUCCUGCAAAUUUGUACCUGAGAACAGGGGUCAGCACCAUUCACCAAAUGAGAUGAUUGUUUAUUUGUAUCCAGGCUUAUUUGGUUCAUAGAGAUUUGAUAAAACUAAGAACUGAAAUGUGUAGACACAAGUUAGGGCUUGCAGUUCUGUAACAAAGGUGUUAGAUUAGAGACCCACCUAAAGCCUGAGAAAUUGUUACAGAACUUUACUAUAAGUAAUUAAAGGAAAUGCCGGGGUGUGUGGGGGGU
rnacentral:lncRNA from 1 species